rnacentral:rRNA from 1 species
CGUGGGUAACCUACCCAUCAGAGGGGGAUAACACUUGGAAACAGGUGCUAAUACCGCAUAACAGUUUAUGCCGCAUGGCAUAAGAGUGAAAGGCGCUUUCGGGUGUCGCUGAUGGAUGGACCCGCGGUGCAUUAGCUAGUUGGUGAGGUAACGGCUCACCAAGGCCACGAUGCAUAGCCGACCUAAGAGGGUGAUCGGCCACACUGGGACUGAGACACGGCCCAG